rnacentral:tRNA from 1 species
GCCAAUGUGGCAUAGUGGUCUGAGUGUUGGAUUAUAACUCUGGAGACCAGGGUUCAAUUUCCAGCUUGGCCA